UACGUAGGGUGCGAGCGUUAAUCGGAAUACUGGGCGUAAAGCGUGCGCAGGCGGUUCGUUGUGUCGGUGGUGAAAGCCCCGGGCUUAACCUGGGAAUGGCCAUGGAAACUGGCGAACGUGGAGUGUGGCAGAGGGGGUGGAAUUCCGCGUGUAGCAGUGAAAUGCGUAGAGAUGCGGAGGAACACCGAUGGCGAAGGCAGCCCCCCUGGGCUAGCACUGACGCUCAUGCACGAAAGCGUGGGGAGCAACAGG
rnacentral:rRNA from 1 species